rnacentral:rRNA from 1 species
GGCACUGGGACAUGGGCGAAACCCUGUUCCAGCCAUGCCGCGUGUGUGAAGAAGGUCUUCGGAUUGUAAAGCACUUUAAGUUGGGAGGAAGGGCUGUAAGUUAAUACCUUGCUGUUUUGACGUUACCGACAUAAUAAGCCCGGCUAACUCUG